UACGGUAGGGUGCGAGCGUUAAUCGGAAUUACUGGGCGUAAAGCGUGCGCAGGCGGUUUUGUAAGUCCAGAUGUGAAAUCCCCGGGCUUAACCUGGGAACUGCGUUUGAAACUACAAGGCUAGAGUGUGGCAGAGGGGGGUGGAAUUCCACGUGUAGCAGUGAAAUGCGUAGAGAUGUGGAGGAACAGCCGAUGGCGAAGGCAGCCCCCUGGGUUAAC
rnacentral:rRNA from 1 species